AUGGGAUUUUUGCUCCUUGUAAUUUUCGUUGUAGCCGCUUUGGAAGGUGCCCGGUCCCAGGUGCAGCUGGUGGAGUCCGGAGGGGAUGUGAAAAAGCCCGGAGACUCUCUCCGCCUCUCCUGCAAAGCCUCCGGGUUCACCUUGAGCAGCUACAGUAUGAGCUGGGUCCGACAGGCUCCUGGCAAGGGACUAGAAUGGGUCGCUUUUAUAAGGUACGAUGGGAGUGAUAUAUAUUACCCUGAUUCAGUGAAAGGCCGAUUCACCAUCUCCAGGGAUAAUCCCAAGAGUGAGCUGUAUCUGCAACUGACCGGCCUGAAGCCCGAGGACACCGCCCGCUAUUACUGUCGCCGCCGGGAGGCCGGGAACUAUCCCAGCCCCUGGGUCAGAGCGGGGAGACUGAGGCACGGAGAGCUGGAGGCUUGA